AUUGAGAUUGCUGGAUCAUAUGGUAAGUACAUAUUUAUAGGAAACUGUCAAACUGUUUUUCAAAGUGGCUGUACCAUUAUCUUGUAUUCCCAUUGGCAAU
rnacentral:pre_miRNA from 1 species